CUAACCUGUAAUAUAAAAAAAGUUUACUCCCAUGCUCUCUUCACAUCCUUCUCUGACACAUCUCAGGUUAUCAACUUCUCAAAGUAUUCACGUAACUUUGCCAAAAUGGCAAGGAUCCAACAGGCAAUGGAUCUCCUCAUGUCUGUCUUUGAAGAAUAUGCUGGAAAAGAGAAAGGCAGCAUUCUGUCCAUGAUAGAGCUUGUUAAACUGCUCAAGAAAGAAUAUCCUGACACAGACAGAGGCAUAUCAGAAGUGAGUGAGCUCUUCUGCAAGAUGGAUGAGGACAGCAGCGGUACUGUUGAUUUCAAGGAGUUUGUCAGUAUUGUAACCAACAUCAAAGUGAUGUGCUCUAAAAAAAAAUAAUUUGGUCACUUUUCACUGGAAUUGUACCCUAUAUGAUGACAUGUGAAAAAUAAAUACAUUGAUUGACCAUCUGAA